GGAAAGGACAGUGGCUCAGUGGUAGAGCAUUUGCUUCGUAAGCAGAAGGUCCCAGGUUCAAUUCCUGGCAUUUCCA